rnacentral:rRNA from 1 species
GACGAACGCUGGCGGCGUGCUUAACACAUGCAAGUCGAACGGAAAGGCCCUGCUUUUGUGGGGUGCUCGAGUGGCGAACGGGUGAGUAACACGUGAGUAACCUGCCCUUGACUUUGGGAUAACUUCAGGAAACUGGGUCUAAUACCGGAUAGGAGCUCCUGCUGCAUGGUGGGGGUUGGACAGUUUCGGCGGUUGGGGAUGGACUCGCGGCUUAUCAGCUUGUUGGUGGGGUAGUGGCUUACCAAGGCUUUGACGGGUAGCCGGCCUGAGAGGGUGACCGGCCACAUUGGGACUGAGAUACGGCCCAGACUCCUACGGGAGGCAGCAGUGGGGAAUAUUGCACAAUGGGCGGAAGCCUGAUGCAGCAACGCCGCGUGCGGGAUGACGGCCUUCGGGUUGUAAACCGCUUUCGCCUGUGACGAAGCGUGAGUGACGGUAAUGGGUAAAGAAGCACCGGCUAACUACGUG